GCAGUUUUCCGACCUCCCAUCUCGAUUUGUUUGGCUCUCAUGUCAGGGAGCAGUGGACGAUAGUGGAUGCCUCGUCCUCUGAUCCAGCAAACUUAUUUUAAAGGGAAAAGCAGCAUCUCGUUUGCCACCUACCGUUCGGUGCGCUUUCUUGCGUUUGUGCCCCGAGAAUUCGCGACGCCGGAGGACCGGAUCCUUAUCCACCCAUGGCGACCCCGACCGUCGUCUUGCUGCCCCUGUGGAGCGCCGGCCACCUCAUGUCCCUGCUCGAGGCCGGCAAGCGUCUGCUCGACCGCGCCGGCGGCAGGCUCUCGCUCACCGUGCUCGUCAUCCCCCCGCCCACGGAGCAGCUCGCGGCCGAGGUCGAGGGCCACAUCCGCCGGGAGGAGGCCUCCGGCCUUGACGUCCGCUUCGUCCGCCUCCCCGCCGUGGAGCCCCCGACGGAUUUCCGCGGCAUCGAGGAGUUCCUCUCCCGGCUCGUGCAGAUGCACGCGCCCGACGUCAGGGCGGCGGUCGCCGCCCUCCCGUGCCCCGUGGCCGCGCUCGUUCUCGACUUCUUCUGCACCACGCUGAUUGACGUGGCCCGCGACCUCGCCGUGCCGGCCUACGUCUACUUCACCACCAACGCCGCGAUGCUGGCGCUCAUGCUGCGCCUCCCGGCGCUCCACGAGGAGGUGACGGUCGAGUUCGAGGAGGUGGAGGGCGACGUGGACGUGCCCGGGCUGCCGCCGGUGCCGCCGUCCUCGUUCCCGAUGCCGGUGAUGGACAAGAAGAACCCGAACUACACGUGGUUCGUGUACCACGGCAGGCGCUUCGCGGAGGCCGACGGCAUCAUCGUCAACACGGCCGCCGAGCUUGAGCGGAGCGCGCUUGCUGCCAUCGCCGACGGACGGUGCACGCCCGGAGUCCGUCCCCCGACGGUGUAUCCGAUCGGCCCGGUGAUCUCGUUCGCGCCGCCCUCCGAGCAGCCGCAAGAGUGCGUGCGGUGGCUCGACGCACAGCCCAAGGCCUCCGUGGUGCUCCUCUGCUUCGGGAGCGGAGGAUUCUUCACCGCGCCGCGGGCGCACGAGAUUGCCCACGGCCUGGAGCGCAGCGGUCACCGCUUCCUCUGGGUGCUGCGCGGCCCACCGGAACCAGGCGCGCGGCACCCAACGGACGCGAACCUCGCCGAGCUUCUCCCAGAUGGCUUCCUCGAGAGUACGAAGGGCAGGGGCCUGGUGUGGCCGACGUGGGCGCCGCAGAAGGAGAUCCUGGGCCACGCCGCCGUUGGGGGUUUCGUGACGCACGGCGGCUGGAACUCGGUGCUGGAGAGCCUGUGGCACGGCGUGCCGUUGGCGCCGUGGCCGCUGUACGCCGAGCAGCACACGAACGCGUUCACACUGGUGGCCGCCAUGGGCGUCGCCGUGGCGAUGAAGGUGGACAGGAAGCGGGACAACUUCGUGGAGGCCGCGGAGCUGGAGCGAGCGGUGAAGGAGCUGAUGGGCGGCGGCGAGGAGGGGAGGAAGGCGAGGGAGAAGGCCAUGGAGAUGAAGGCCGCGUGCAGGAACGCCGUGCAGGAGGGCGGCUCGUCCGACGCGGCGCUGCGCAGGCUAGCCGAGCAGCUGGUCAGCACGAGCCCUAAACCGUCGCGUGCCGUCCCCGCCCCGCCGCCGUCCCGCCAUCCCGCCGCCGUGAGGUGCCCCUGUUUGCCGGCGCGAGGGGUCCACGUCCGCCCGCGCGAGGAGGCGGGGCCCUUGUGGUGACGACGGCGAGCAGGAGGACGGGCAUGCCUCACGCCCCCACCCCCCUCCUCCGCUGCGACACCAGGGCGCUCCUCCGCCGCGACGCCGGGGCGCGAUCAGCGGGAGGGACUCCUGCGCCGCCACCGCCACCACGACGGUGCCCACUCCUCGCCGCUGCACCUCCUCCACGCCGCCGUGGACCUCGCGCCGCCGCUCCUCCACGCCGCCGUUGCACCCCCGCCCUCCUCCGCUGCUCCGCCCCUCCUCCCCUUCCUCGCUCGAUCUGGCUCCUGGGACGGUAGCAUCCACCGCGAGAAGCUCCAGUCGCCGGCGAGAAUGCGAGGGUUGGCCGUCCGCUGCCGCCCUCCGCUGCGAGGUGCCCUUGUCCGCCCGCACGAGGAGGCGAGUCGCCCGGUGCUCAGUUCCCCUCCUCCUCGCCACGCUUCGCCCUCGCCCUCCGCGCCAGCCUUCACCGAGGGCAUCAAGCAGCCGCGGUCGGGCCCGGAUGCGUCGCCGCUCGAGAUCAACGAGCGCGAUGUGGUGUGGACGGCAAGCGGCUGCCAGGAGCCGUCCGCCGAUGCUCGAGAUGCUGCCGCCGUGCAAGAGACGCCGGCACACCAUGCUGCAGAGCUUCGGGCUGUCGUCCCUCCUCGCCGAGGGCGGCGGCGAACAGCGUGCAGGGUGAGGCCAUGCCGAUGAGGGCAGUGGCGCCAGGAGCAGGCAUCCUGUCCUCUCUUCCUCCACUCAGAACAAAUAUCAGGAGGUCAAGAACCCUCUGCAAAAUUCAGUUCAAUGGUCAUAUUCUGUACUGGGCUUGCUUAUUAAUGCCAGGCAUCGAGCACCUUUGGCUUGUCCUGCAAAGGUUGCAGAUCCGAAGCUGAAGGUAGAAGAGGGACAUGUGCUUCUCCAAAAGCUGAAGAGGGACAGGUGCUGAAUACAAAUGUGCCCCGGACAGUGGAAGCAAAGUGGUGCUGUUCAUCAACAGCAUGUUUGGUGAGGAAUAAACCAAAAGUCCAAUGGUACCAGCCUAGCAUAUCAAUAUGGUAUUAAUUGAAAUGCACUGUAAUAAAAGAGUUAGCAGAUUUGUAGGUCUAGAAAUGCAUUUUCGGAGUCGAUGGACCUAAAUGACACACUCUUACAGGUUUGUGCAUUAAGAAAUGUAUUUUAGGA